rnacentral:rRNA from 1 species
AAUGGGUCAGCGACUUAUAUUCUGUAGCAAGGUUAACCGAAUAGGGGAGCCGAAGGGAAACCGAGUCUUAACUGGGCGUUAAGUUGCAGGGUAUAGACCCGAAACCCGGUGAUCUAGCCAUGGGCAGGUUGAAGGUUGGGUAACACUAACUGGAGGACCGAACCGACUAAUGUUGAAAAAUUAGCGGAUGACUUGUGGCUGGGGGUGAAAGGCCAAUCAAACCGGGAGAUAGCUGGUUCUCCCCGAAAGCUAUUUAGGUAGCGCCUCGUGAAUUCAUCUCCGGGGGUAGAGCACUGUUUCGGCAAGGGGGUCAUCCCGACUUACCAACCCGAUGCAAACUGCGAAUACCGGAGAAUGUUAUCACGGGAGACACACGGCGGGUGCUAACGUCCGUCGUGAAGAGGGAAACAACCCAGACCGCCAGCUAAGGUCCCAAAGUCAUGGUUAAGUGGGAAACGAUGUGGGAAGGCCCAGACAGCCAGGAUGUUGGCUUAGAAGCAGCCAUCAUUUAAAGAAAGCGUAAUAGCUCACUGGUCGAGUCGGCCUGCGCGGAAGAUGUAACGGGGCUAAACCAUGCACCGAAGCUGCGGCAGCGAC